rnacentral:rRNA from 3 species
AGAAUUCCAGGUGUAGCGGUGAAAUGCGUAGAGAUCUGGAGGAAUACCGGUGGCGAAGGCGGCCCCCUGGACAAAGACUGACGCUCAGGUGCGAAAGCGUGGGGAGCAAACAGGAUUAGAUACCCUGGUAGUCCACGCCGUAAACGAUGUCUACUUGGAGGUUGUGCCCUUGAGGCGUGGCUUCCGGAGCUAACGCGUUAAGUAGACCGCCUGGGGAGUACGGCCGCAAGGUUAAAACUCAAAUGAAUUGACGGGGGCCCGCACAAGCGGUGGAGCAUGUGGUUUAAUUCGAUGCAACGCGAAGAACC